GCCCUCAUCGUCUAGGGGUCUAGGACACCAGGUUUUCAUCCUGGCGGCAGGGGUUCGAAUCCCCUUGAGGGUGCCA
rnacentral:tRNA from 1 species